rnacentral:rRNA from 1 species
CAAUGGCCGGUACAAUGCGAAGCGAAGCAGUGAUGUGAAGCAAAUCGCACCAAAGCCGGUCCCAGUUCGGAUAAGAGGCUGAAACUCGCCUCUUUGAAGUCGGAAUCGCUAGUAAUCGCAGAUCAGCAUGUUGCGGUGAAUACGUUCCCGGGUCUUGUACACACCGCCCGUCAAACCAUGAGAGUCACCAACACCCGAAGUCCGCUUUGGCGGCCUAAGGUGGGGGAGAUGAUUGGGGUUAAGUCGUAACAAGGUAAC